UUAAGGGGGUGUUCACACAGGCAGUUUUUUUUUCAGGUGCGGGUGGAUGUUUUACAUUAUAUUCCUAUGAUACAGGGUGUUUUUGUAAAAACAUCCUGGGUGCUUUUAAAAACACCGCUGCCAGCGGGUUUUUUUCACUGCUCUGGGUGGUUUUCAAGUUGGGAUAAAUUCAACUCGCCAAGAAAAAGCACCCGACGUCAGGUAGUUUUUUGACAGCUGACCAAUGAACGAGAACCUACGUCACUAGGAAAAACGUUGGAAAUUCAAGAAUGGCGACCCAAACCAAGACGUCUUUCCCGACGGAGCAACUUGUUGUUCUUGUCAGUGAACAUGUUGAGUUGUAUGACAUGACCAACAAAUUAUACCACAACAUUUAUCACAAGGAGAGUAUCUGGAGGACGAUCGGUGGGAUUUUGGGACAUAAGUGGGAGGAUUGCCGUGACAAAUGGAAAUACCUUAGAGGCAAGUACGGCAAAGAAAGAAAGGAAAUGAAGGAGAGGAGGAGUGGAUCGGAGGGAGGACAUAAACACAGUUGGAAAUAUGUAAAAAUUCUAUCUUUCCUGGAGCCUUAUGUCCAGGAAAGGCUCACAAUUAGUAACUUCGACCAGCCAAGCCAGACAGCAGAGAGCAUUUUGAAUGCAAUGUGUGAAAACAAUGAGACUACAUUGGAUGACACAAUCAGUAGUCAACCUGGGCCUGGUUCUUUAAAUGGCAGUUCAUCAAGGCCCCCACCCCAUUCAUCUAGGCCCCCACCCUCUCCAUCUCCACCCCCACAACCACCUCAACAAGAACAGCAGCAGGAAUUCGGGCCCAUGAGAGUACAAAGAGGA
ensembl:lncRNA